AUGAAUCCAAGACCCACCCACAUGUGGUCCAAGAAAAGCCCAAAGCCUGGGAGGCAGAGAGUCCACAUGACCAGCCAGAUGCUGCCUUGUCUGCCUCAGAGGAACUGCCCUUACCAUGUCUAACAGGAAGAACUUCUAGGAAACCACCAAACGCCUAUAAAAAAGGGGGCCAACCACUGUGCAACCACCACAUAGAAGGGUUACGUGACUCACCUUUCAUUCAGUACCUCCCUUCAAGGAAAGCCCUGUCUCCUGUCCUUGGACUGGGAUCACACAGAGUUCUUGGGAUGACCCUGGCUCUCCCGCGCCAGCCGCUCUGCUGCCAAGCGCAAGCAUUCGCUCCCAGAUGCUUCGCCCAGUUCUUUGCAAAUGUCAUCCAAUCAGUGUCCAGGUGUUCACGGCUCAUCACUGGCUUACUGCUCUGGUCUACAUAGCUUGGGACAUUGCUGUUUAUGCAGGGGCAGCAUCACAGAAUGUGAAUCAGAAUAUUAGUCUGUGGUACUGGGAGAGAAAAAGAAGAUUCCCCAGAGAGGAUGAAGACCAAACAGACUGCAGACCUGCCAUCUCUCUACACUGCACUUGGAUUGGCCAUUUGCUGUAUGCACCCGGGAAAAAAAUUCAGAGGACCAUGCUGUUGUGAUAGCUGACCUAAAGACAUUCUGGAGAGCACAUGAGUUUGAUUUUUACAAAUGACUUAAUAAUCUGGGGGACCAAGCCAGGGCUGCAGAGUCUGGAAGAGCCCCCGCCAGCGGUGAGCAGAGGAGGAGGAGACCCAGAGUCAGGGGUGGUAGAGGAACGGGGUUUCCCAGGCCUCUUUUCACAGCCGAAGAGAAAGGGAGACUCCAGAGCUGCAUUUCCAGUCGGGGCUUCCACAGCAGCAGAAGAGGACAGAGUUCUGCUGCUUCCAGCCGGACCUGGCAGAGAGUCCUGGAAGCCUGGACCUUAGCAUGUUACCUUCAUCAGCAAUUCCACACUCCAGCCGGCAUCGUAAGUCCCCAACCUGUGGUCGCCUAGCCCCUUCUACGAACCUUGUGAAGAGAAGCUGCCUGUGCCUUGGGCUAGAAAGUUCUCUCGCACUCUAUCCAGUGCUCUGAGUGAUGAUGAUGAUGAAUUUGGGCCUAGAAUUGACAUCUUAGUCAUAUGAGGCAGAACCUAGUUCUAAGGAAACACACCUCAGUGCCAUGAUAGAAACAUUUCAUCAUGAAAACCUAAGCAGUUGUGCAAUGAAAAUCCCUGUCAUUUACAACAAUUCCCCCACCCCCCACGUACUUGGGAUAAAUUAGAACCAGGAUGGGCCAAGUUUCUCGUCUCGCCUCCUCUUUUCCUCAGUGGCAACCGUGUGAUUUAUGGCUCUGACGGGAGAGCCAACCAAACUCAGUUGUUUCAGCUGAUUGUCCCCGUGAGUUUUCAGGUUGAUGUGAAAUCCAAUGGGGUGUGAACUGAAACCCAAGAUCUCCUGAAAGCCCCAUGCACUAAGCUCAGUAAGGGACUCCCUCCCUCUUGCCUGGCACUCCUGGAGCUCACAAAAAGCCUGCCACUUGUGAGCCUGUGUGCCUGGAAGGGUCUGCUGCACCUGGCUGGGGGCCCCUGGGCCAUUGUUUUCCUGGCAGCAGCAAGGAGGCAGGUCUUCGGCUCACUCCUGGAGCUGGCCCCACACCAGCGACCUCAGAAACCAGGCAGGCUUUCAUCCUGGGGUCUCCUAGGGGUUGGUUACACAGAGAGAGUGAGGCUUUGUUGGAAGACUCUCAGAGGCCUGGCCAGGUUUUCCUCUCACAGCCAAGAAGCAGGUUCUAGUUCUUUCCAAACCCUUGAUACCUUCUAAACUGAAAAGCGGCUGCCCACUCAGAAUUUGGGCUAGGCCAUGGAGAUGCUAAAAACCUUAUCUUUUAAAAGGGAAUUGUUACUGUCUCUCUGAAAAGACUGCAGGGUUUCUAGGAGAUUCUGAAAUGAUGUAUACAGCUAGAGUCUAAAAAGGUGGAAGGAGAGGUUUCUGGGUAGGGGGUUAUCCCUGCUCACUCUUCAUCUUACCCUGUCUAGCCCAACGUUUUUGGUAGUUCAUGUUCCAGUCAGAAGAAAAGACCAGUGAGAACUGGG
rnacentral:lncRNA from 1 species